CCUACGGGAGACUGCAGUAGGGAAUCUUUCACAAUGGGCGAAAGCCUGAUGGAGCAACGCCGCGUGCAGGAUGAAGGCCUUCUGGUUGUAAACUGCUUUUAUAAGCGAGAAAUAUGAUGGUAACUUAUGAAUACGGAUCGGCUAACUACGUGCCAGCAGCCGCGGUCAUACGUAGGAUCCGAGCAUUAUCCGGAGUGACUGGGUGUAAAGAGUGCGCAGGCGGAGGUGCAAGUCAGCGGUAAAAUUGCGGGGCUCAACCCCGUACUGCCGUUGAAACUGCAUCCCUUGAGUGCGCGAGAAGUAUGCGGAAUGCGUGGUGUAGCGGUGAAAUGCAUAGAUAUCACGCAGAACUCCGAUUGCGAAGGCAGCAUACCGGCGCGCAACUGACGCUCAUGCACGAAAGCGUGGGUAUCGAACAGGAUUAGAUACCCUAGUAGUC
rnacentral:rRNA from 1 species